rnacentral:snRNA from 1 species
AUACUUACCUGGCAGGGGAGAUACCAUGAUCAUGAAGGUGGUUCACCCAGGGUGAGGCUCAGCCAUUGCACUGAGGCUGUUGCUGACCUUUGCGAAUUCCCCAAAUGUGGGAAUCUCAACUGCAUAAUUUCUGAUAGUGGGGGACUGCGUCCGCGCUCUCCCCUG